GAGGUAGCCGGUUCAACCCCAUAUUAGAUAUGCUGGCAGCCCUUAAAAAAGGAAUAAUUGGAGGAGUCAAAGUUCAUGUGGAUCGUCUACAGACACUAAUAUCUGGAGCUGUAGUAGAACAACUUGAUUUCCUACGAAUCAGUGACACAGAAGAGCUUCCAGAAUUUAAGAGUUUUGAGGAACUAGAACCUCCCAAACAUUCAAAAGUCAAACGGCAAAGCAGCACCCCUAGUGCUCCUGAACUGGGACAGCAGCCGGAUGUCAACAUUAGUGAAUGGAAGGACAAACCCACCCACGAAAUUCUUCAAAAACUGAAUGAUUGCAGUUGUCUGGCUAGCCAAGCCAUCCUGCUGGGUAUACUGCUCAAAAGAGAAGGCCCCAACUUCAUCACAAAGGAAGGUACCGUUUCUGAUCACAUUGAGAGAGUCUAUAGAAGAGCUGGCAGCCAAAAACUUUGGUUUGUAUUAGUGUCCUUGUUGUUAUGUUUUAUUUUUGUGUUGUUACAUUCGAUAGCCUAAAGAAAAUGGACCAAUAUUAAAGAUAAUUAUUCAUCCUAAUUUUUACUUUUAACCUCCAAGGUUACAGCACUUUCUAAGAAUGUGCCUAUGUAGCAUGUCUCUCCCCCCACUGCCUCCACCAAAAUUCUGAGAACAAAGACACUGUAGGGAUUGAACCUGAAGAGUAUUCGCUGGAAUGGUAUGCUAAGGUUUCUUUCCUGCUGUACACCUCCUCUGCCCCAACAAGGUGCUUUAAGUUCUGUUUUUUAAUUUAGGAAACCUGUUCUGCUAUUAUAGAAGGCCAUGAAAAGAGACCAGUGAUUUAUCUAAUCAUAAGCAAAAAUAAUAUACUUAGAAGGCUAUUGUCUUGUCACUUAAGUUGAAUGAAUCCCAGUGAUUGUAGUUGCUUCACGAAAAAUAACCAAUUUGUUCUACAGAGGUAGUCUGUUCCCAGAGAUUGAAAAAAAAAACAAGUAGGAAAGUUUAAAUAAAUAAAAUUGUUUAAAUUCACAAUGGAGGGCCAAUUCACAUGGCCCUCUGCAUUUUGAUGUAAUUCUAACAGUUUUACUAGCAGAAUCUAACAAAUUUUGAAAGUCAGAGUGUAUGUAUAGAUAUAUAUAC
rnacentral:sRNA from 1 species